rnacentral:misc_RNA from 1 species
ACGGGCCGGGCGAGGGGGCG